UAAACUCAUCUCGGGAAAGCAGCGUUAAUCUCCUUGAUCUACAAAGCCUACAAGAAAUUCUAUUCUUAAUAGGUCUCGUGAAGCUAGCUUAAAGCCUUAGUGCGUGUGCUUAAUUACUAUGAUUCACUAAGUCAGGUUUUAAGAAUGUAAUAAAUAAAUAAUUGAAAACUAUAAUUUUUGAGUCAAGGACACCAACAAUAUCCUUACUCGAUUUUCUUUAAAUUAUAAAUACUUUUAUUGCAUAAUGCAAAUGCAAUUUCAUGUCAUGCUGAAACAUAUAAUAAGUAAUUAUACUUAAAAUAUGCACAUAAUAAUAAUAUAAUAUUAUUAUGCAAUUCAUCUCUUUUUUUAAAAAAAUAAUUAAUUAAACUUUAUUAUAAGUCUAAUUAAUAAAUAUUGGGCAGCUUAUUUAAAAUAAUUAAAUCAAGGACCCUUUUUUUCAUAAUUUUUUUUGUAGCUCAAUAAACAAGGGCAGCCCAAAUUUAAAUAAAUGAGGACCCAAACUUUUAAUACAUUCAGCCAGCUUUCAUAUAAGACCCAGCCCACUAAAAAUAAAGAAGGCCCAGACUGAAUUAAAUAAGCCCAAGACACUCAAGCCCAAAACUCCCCAACCGUAAACUUCUUCCUCAAAACUCACUCACACGCGACACACAAACACACGCACACAGCUGCUGCGCCGCUGCCUCAUCUAUCACCUCCGCCCAGCCAGUCGGCGCCCGUAUUUCGAGCGACGGCGGCGCCCUGUGCAACUGCCCUAGGUUCCCGGCCGAACAGCAAUUAGCCGCCGACCAUCUCUUCCUCUUCCGGACAGCAGCGGCUUCACGCCACUGCCACCGUCGGCUCCCCUUUUCUCACGCCCAUGUUCUCUCUUCCCUGGGUCCGGUCGACACCGUGAAGCCACCGCCACCGUCGGCAGUAGGCCACCCAACUACUCUCAGACCCGACUCAAUUCCAAAGUUAAACAAAAGUUCAGAUUUGUAGUUCGAUAGCUUUCUGUUAAAACAUUGUCUGUUCUUAAAUGUCAAAUGAUGUACAUUUCGCAUAUGCAGAUAUAUGCAUAUAACUGAAAUGAAUGUAUGUAUGUUUGUUUUAAAUUCUUUGCUCGAGCAGCAGAAGUUCUCAAAAAUAAGAUAGGAAAAUUAAAGCUUUCAACAUUUGCUAGAAAUAUGAGACACUAUGAGAGUUUAAAGUGAAACCUUGUAGAGAGUUGAAAUGGUGGAUUAUUGGUACGUCUGAUUUGAGCUCCUUCUUGAAAGAUAAAAUUUGAGAAUUAUGGAAUAUUUCGUAUUGAAUGGAAAUGGGAGAUUUGUUGUAGUAACUUUGAUGAUGGAGGAAUGGCUUUGCAGAGGUAAGGUGUGUUGGUAAGG
rnacentral:lncRNA from 1 species